GCGGGUAUAGCUUAGUGGUAAAGCACUAGCCUUCCAAGCUAGCUAUGCGAGUUCGAUUCUCGCUACCCGCUCCA
rnacentral:tRNA from 1 species